rnacentral:rRNA from 1 species
GACGUAGGGCGCGAGCGUUGUCCGGAUUUAUUGGGCGUAAAGAGCUCGUAGGCGGCUUGUCGCGUCGACUGUGAAAUCCCGCGGCUCAACUGCGGGUCUGCAGCCGAUACGGGCAGGCUAGAGUUCGGUAGGGGAGACUGGAAUUCCUGGUGUAGCGGUGGAAUGCGCAGAUAUCAGGAGGAACACCGGUGGCGAAGGCGGGUCUCUGGGCAGUAACUGACGCUGAGGAGCGAAAGCAUGGGGAGCGAACAGG